UACGUAGGAGGCAAGCGUUGUCCGGAAUCACUGGGCGUAAAGCGUGUGUAGGCGGAUCGCUAAGUCUGUGGUGAAAGCGCCUGGCUUAACCGGGCGAGGUCCAUGGAAACUAGCGGUCUGGAGGCCGGUAGAGGGGGGUGGAAUUCCGGGUGUAGUGGUGAAAUGCGUAGAGAUCCGGAGGAACACCAGUGGCGAAGGCGGCCCCCUGGGCCGCGCCUGACGCUGAGACGCGAAAGCGCGGGGAGCGAAAGGG
rnacentral:rRNA from 1 species